AGUGAACGCUGGCGGUAGUCCUAACACAUGCAAGUCGAACUGCCGCACAGUUAUAUCUUGCUCUUACGGCUGUCGAGUGGCGGACGAGUGGUGUAUACCUCCGAAUCUACUUUUUCGUGGGUCUUAACGUAGGGAAACUUACGCUACUACCUCAUAGUCCCUACUCGGGAAAGCAUGAGAUCUUCGGACCUUGCGCGAGUGAGCGAGCCGAUGUGGGAUUUUCUUGUUGCCGGGAAAAAGGCCCACCAAGGCGACGAUCCGUAGCUGGUCUGAGUGGAUGAUCGGCCAGACUGGAACCGGGACACGGUCCAGACUCCUACGGGAGGCAGCAGUGGGGACUCUUGGGCAAUGGGCGCCAGCCUGAUCCCGCCACACCGCGUGGGUGAAGAAGGUCUUCGGGUUGUAAAGCCCUUUUGUUGGGAAAGAAAAGCAGCAGGUUACUACCCCGAUGUUCUGACGGUACCCAACGAAUAAGCACCGGCUACCUUCGUG
rnacentral:rRNA from 1 species